rnacentral:rRNA from 1 species
UACGGAGGGUGCAAGCGUUAAUCGGAAUUACUGGGCGUAAAGCGUACGUAGGCGGCUUGUUAAGCCAGAUGUGAAAUCCCUGGGCUCAACCUAGGAAUUGCGCUUGUGACUGGCGGGCUCGAGUACGGUAGAGGGGGGUGGAAUUCCUGGUGUAGCAGUGAAAUGCGUAGAGAUCAGGAGGAACACCGAUGGCGAAGGCAGCCCCCUGGGCCUGUACUGACGCUCAUGCACGAAAGCGUGGGGAGCAAACAGG